GGAGAAGUACUCAAGUUGGUGACGAGGCGCCCCUGCUAAGGGCGUAGGUCGGGCAACCGGCGCGCGGGUUCGAGUCCCGCCUUCUCCGCCA
rnacentral:tRNA from 1 species